CGUGAGUUGUGGAGGAUGAACCGUGUUCCUUCCUCCGAGCACCCGCAGCGUACCCUGCUGUCUCGUGCUCUUCCUUUUCCUGACAUGAAUGCAGGUGUGGACAUCUGUCAGGUGUUGCUUUUGAAUAGACCUGGACAACUUGUACGGCUCUUGCCUUGGUUAGCAGGGGAGGAGCGAGGAGGAAGACUUGCCAGACAAGAUCCAAAGCUGGUGUGACCUUCAUUUUUCUCAUAAGCUGGUUCUGAAACUUAGAGCAGACGACUCCUAGCCCGAGCUCCUGAGCUACCAGUGCCGGAGUUUGAAGAUGCAGCAGGCCUGAUAGUGAGGACAGAAGAAUCUCCUUUAAGAAGUCUCACAGUCGGAAACGUUGACCAUGUCUAUUACAGAUCACAGCCCCACCACUGGUGUGGUGACUGUUAUUGUUAUUUUGAUUGCUAUUGCGGCUCUCGGUGCCUUGAUACUGGGCUGCUGGUGUUACCUGCGUCUGCAGAGGAUCAGCCAGUCUGAAGAUGAGGAAAGCAUUGUGGGCGAAGGAGAAACCAAAGAGCCCUUUCUUCUGGUGCAGUACUCUGCUAAAGGACCUUGCGUAGAGAGGAAAGCGAAGCUAACUCCAAAUGGCACAGAAGUACACAGCUAACUUGGAGCAACAUGUGCAUAUGGACCAUGUUUAUAAUGUGCGUAACCAGCAGAAGAAUCUAUACUGUGAAGAACCUGGUCACAUGCACACUACUCAUCAGAAAAUGCCCCAGUGAGGCUUAAAUAAGCUUUGUUUGCAACUGCAUGCACUGAGAAGUUGCACUUUGCAUCAACUGUGUACCCUAAUUCCUCUGUGGCAGGAUCUGGUUCACCUGGCUUAAUGUCCAUUGCUGGCAAUGGACACAGGGAUAUAUUGGUGUCAAGAGACUACUAGCAUUUUUUUGUUACUUGAAUGUUUAGCUGAGCCUAUUUUGAUGGAGCUACUACUGUAAUGUGAACUACUUUACAACUGUGAACUGUAAAUAGGCUGCCAGAAGCUUUUUGCUUUGUGUUCCACAGCAUAUGGUAAUAACAUCAUGCAACUGUACAUAACUCACAAGGGAACUCCUGAAGCACAACUGUAGGUGGGAUUCCAGACCCUCAAAACCAAAUCUGCAGUGAAAGCUUGCUUCUGCCACUAACUCGAGUGCACAGACAUAGAAAAGUUAGAACUCCUGCUCUUAGCAGUUCAUUGGACUGAUGCAGAAUACUUUCUUUGAAAAGAAGGUAUAAGCCUUCAGUAACACAUGGAGGGAGAAGCUAGGAGCUACAAAAAGGAAAUAACUUCUAGUUGCAGCUAGGUAGAUGAAGCUUUUGGCUGCUAGAACUGAGUUCUCUAAGUAUGUAGCUACUGCAAGGAAACUGCCGCUUGGAUGGAUUCCAACCUGGGAACUAAUGAUGGAUACUGAACCCUCAGGGAUGGUCCAGAAGGUUUCCAGGGCUUUGACAGGGCAGUAGAGCAGGCUCUUCUCUUCUGUAGGUCUGCGUGCUGGAACUGCAGAAGUGGUUACUUAAUAAAACUGGCAUAAGUGCCACUAAUAUGAUUUUUUUCCUAGAACACUUGUUUGUGUAUUUAACAGUUAGGGUGUAUGUUAACAGCCUGUUGUAAAAAGGCAUUUUAGUCUACAAACAGCCAGCUAUAGAAUUCAGUUAAUGUAUCUUGUAGUUAAGUUUCAGUCUUUCCUACAAAAACAAAUGCUGAUAUGGGGAAGGGAGACCGGUCAGUUUGUAGAAGUUUUUUAGCCAGCAAUGGCAAAGGCCUUCCAGAUACAGACAUCCCUUCAUUUCCUGCGAUGGGAACUGUAUGAAGAUGUGUUAAAUGGGGAGUUUGGGAUCUCAAAGAUUUGGGGAGGAGGAACAAGAAGACUGAGCCACCCAUGGCAGCUUACAUAUUCUAAAGCUCUUAGGGUAGGCACACAUGCUUUGAGGCCGCUCACCUGUUUUCUGUAACUUUAGCCAUAGCUUCCUCAUGCCUACUGACAUUUUUAAAUACUUAGUUGCCUAGGAGAUAAAAAAGCUACUGUAGGUCUGCUCCCUGAAAUAAGUGACAAAUAAGUCCAAGUUCUUCAGCUCUAUAGGAAGCAAUAGACUUGCUCCUUGUCCCUGUACAUAUGGAAUUACUGAGUAACAUAGGCCUAGCAAACUUGCUUGAGAAUUGUAAAUAUAUGCAAGACAAUAAUGGCCUAGUCAGUGAAGUCUUGUCCCUCUCUGCUACAGUAAGAUGUUGAAUUGCAUUUUUAGUGCUAUAUUGGUCUUUUUAAUUGAAGACUAUAUAAUUUGAAGCAAAAAUUAAUGCUGCCAGUAGCAAAAAGCUCUUGCUGUUGCCUCUUGAGUACGCUAUGGGUACAGCUGAUUGAUGGCUGUUUUUCCCCUGGCACUAGUCCCCUGAGACUUGCAUGAACAGCCAGACCCAUGCACUUAAACUGCUGUAUUCUAGGCCUCUUACAAAGCAAGGAGAAAAGGAUUAUUUCAGUAGGACUUUCUUUAGUUUUCAGUAGAGAACGGUUCACACAUGGCUCUUGCAGGUUUCAAGACAGUCAUAAGUUAUAUACAAAAGUGAUACCAAGUGCUGAAGGGCUGGAACAGAACAGCUGUAGCAAGAUGACUUUGUCCAUUCAAGUUUACUGAUUACAUGGAUGAAAUAUCUCUAUUUUAAAAUAAAUUCAGCAAGAAAAUGCAGUGUAAAGGGCAAACUUCUGAAAUAAUGGAAAAGUAUAAAUCAAAGGUCUGAUUGCUCUUCUAGCAACUGUAAGGGAAAGCCAGUGAAAAAGAACUGGUCCUUAGUCAGAGGUGCUGCCCCUAAAAAUCAGCAUCUUUCAUUUAAAUGGAUAGGUGUUUGCAAGUUAGCACAAUAGUAAAAUGCAGAAAGUGCUUUCCAUAUUCCUCUUCUCUUUAGAUGUGGGUAUCUCAUAAGUUGUUCAAGUAUACAAAAAUAUUCCAUUUGAUUUUCUUUUUCUAGCUCAUGUGGGGGAAGAAGUCUUUAUUUACAAUGAAUUUCAAUAAAAAUUGCAUAAAUACCUACCUAA